AUCAAGGUGGCAUUUCUCUGAUGUCCCCGGCUGUCCUGAAGAUGUGAAGAGCGAUGCAUUGCUCUUGGUCUCUGCUUAUAGGCUGUCAAGCGGGCAAUGUCACAGGGCCCUCGCUUGCUUCCUCGUCUCUGCACACUCUCUCCCAUAUUUCAUUUUUCUCUACAGCCGAAUGAAACUCUAGUGUGUACACGGACUAUACGUCUUACUGUCCAUUCAUCUGCUGGUGGACAUCGAGGCUAUUCCAUUUUCUUCCUGCUCUGAAAAGAGCAGCAGAGACCACAGAUGUGCAAGCGUUUCUGAGGUAAGCUAUUAUGCUGGUUGUUUUCUAUCUACCUCACAAACCUAGACAUAUCUGAGAAGAAAGAUUCUUAAUUCAAAAUAUGCCCCCGAGGAGCGGCCUGAAGGCAAAUCUGUGGAGAUACCGUACCGUCUUGGUUAAUGACUAAUGUGGAAGGGCCCAGUUCACUGUGGAUGGUGUGAGCCCCGGGCUGGUGCGCCUGGGUGCUAUAAGAAAGCAGGUCCCCUGGAGCUGGAGUUAGAGGGAACUGUGAAGCCUUCAGAUGUGGAUGCUGGAAACCAUAUCCAGAUCCUCUAAGAGCAGUUAGUGCCCUGAACUGAAGCCCCAAACUCCAGACAAGCUAUUGUAGAGAGAGACAUCUGGGAACCGAUGGACACCAAAGAGCCGUAAUUUCCCCAGAAAUCUCACACUAGGGAAUGGAAACGUGAAAGCCUGAUACCGCCAGGGGAGGAACAUGCCUCCUAAGAAGUGAGUUCACACUGUUCUGAGAACUCACGAGGCCUCCUCUUGGGACAGACUGGAGCCAUAGUGAUGGGUUGGUGAUGGUCUAGACACACCUAGAUCAGGGUUGCUGAACUGUAGGCGUCUCUUGCAUGAUUUUGAAACCAAAACCUCGUGCCAUACUCCUGAAGACUGCUUUGGAGCUGAGGGAACUUUUUUUGUUCCUCUUCCCAAUAUGGUCACAUCGAACAUUGAGGAAGCAGGCUAAAUGUGGAGUCUCUGGCUCGGUACUUCUGUGCAUUUCUGUGAUGCUGUGUGUACUGAGGUAACAGUAGGAAAUAGUGGCAGGUGUUGCCUCUAAUUUCUGUAGUUUGCUGUUCUCAA